GCAUAAGAAGUCUCGGUCGCCGAACAUUGUGAUGUUCGGUAAGCCCAAAGUGCUUCAUUAAGAGUUAGGUGCCACAUACCAGGCCUGUUCUUCACCAUUUUCCCCAAAAUGCUCACAAUGAUUUAUUUGCUGCUUCGGCCUGACUAUUAGCCCGAGGACAAUACGAGAAAAUAUUUUGAGCUAGGACCGAUCGAUCCAACAAGUACAAGUUAUUUUUCAUGAGAUGGAUCUUUGCUGCCUCUGCAAUGGUAACGAAUGGCUCGAUAGAGACGAGUGAGGAGGCGUUGGGAGCAUCAGUCGUCUCUUCCUUGACAUCAUACUCGACUCUGGUUUUGAUGAUGCAGCAGCAAGAGGGUUGCGAAUCCCCGGCCGGCAACUCCUAUUUUCUCUGCUACUUCAAACCGAACACGGUAUGAGCUAAGUCCAAAAUCCAGGUCCGCCUUCAUUCACCUCAGCUUCUUUCGCUCGCGUCUCAUUGUCUGCCUUUGUGAACUUUUCCGUGUGUCCAACACCUACACACACACACAUACAUACAUAUACACACCAAUUAGCUCAAUCAAUUACCAUUUCUCGGUUCAAAAUCCUGAUGAUCAGCAAGAAGAUUAGCGCGGAUGCAGCAGCAGGUGUUGUAUUAAUUAUUCCCAGCCCCUCCAUCACCAUGUAUGACUUGAACUUUUUCAAUCAUAUCUGGAAGUUGUUGUUCCACGAAUCUUGCCAGCGCAAGCGUGCCGAAGAGCUCCCAUGCUUCACUUGCAGGCACCUCCGCUUCUAACUC